GGCAGCUUGACUUCAAGAGGGUAGCAAAGGAUAAUCAAGAUGGGAAAUCAAGAUUUUCUCUGCUCGGGGAAAUGGGCAUUUUGUUCAGUGAUGUCACAGCGGUAGACUCACAAUGACAAUGCCUCGGUCUGGGUCAGCCAAGUAGGAUGGCAUUGCAGCUGGCAUUUUGGCAGCAAGCUUAUCCUCUGCAAGGAUCUGAGGUGGUUUGACAAGGCCAGUUCUUGUCCUCCUCUUGUCUAAGUACAGCUGCACCAAGCUCUCUCUAUCAGCAAGGAUUCUGGUGGGAUUUUGGACAGGUGAAGAAGGAGGUGGUGUUAAUUCUCGUGAGCACUGUUGGAUUACAACCACUCCUCCUACUCCUUAGAUCCCGACUUGUUGGGUACCUGCUGCCUCGAGGAUGUUGCUAUCCUCCCACGCCGUGAGGCCCUUUGUAUGCACCUGCAUGUGCUCAUCAGCCUCUGGACACGCUUUCUCCUGAAACUGAGAGGAUGCAGGGCAGCAAAACCGUAAGGAAGCUCUCACGGUGCCUCACUCACAGGGAGAACACAGACUGAGCAAGCCCUGUCCUGAAGGCCAUACUGCAAGGGCUGAGGGGUAAGGUGAGGAGUGCGGUACCCCUGGGCCCGGGAAACUGAGAGGUCAGGAAAUGUUCGCAGUCAGCGAGAACUGGAGGGUGGAGCCUGUGCCUUUUGCAGCUGAGGGUGGAAAAACAAGCACCUACAGACAGCUGUAGAUGUGAGGAACUAGAUAAAUCCAGGAAGGUCCUUGUCCUUUUGCAUGUAUUUUGGAAAAAUAUUUGAAGAAAAAUUUGUCUUCAAAGUAGUAACUGCUAACAUUACAUUCCCAUUGUGUCUCGGUUUGUCAAAAUCGCUAAGUAACGGCUGUCUAAAAAAAUGCUAAUUCCCAGCCUGUCACGAUCGGUGGUUACGACUCCUACAGGCUGUGGCUCAGUCCCUUAUUCUUAUGUUUGUGUUUGCUCUGUUUUAAUGGCUACAUAGCGAAGCCCGUUACGUUUCCAGGCGUUUUCUUGCCAAACAGUGUUCAAAGGGAAGGGCCGGGUCUGAGGGGGCGGGACGAGCGGCUAGCAUUGCGAGCGCGGUCACGUGGAUACAGCACGCUGGGUGGGACGUGACGCGUGGCGCACGUCGAACGUACGUACGUACGUACGUACGUACGUGGUACGUGUGGACCGGGGCGGUGCCGCCCGCCGGGAGGGGGAGGGCGCACGGGAGGAAGGAGGAAGCCGCCAUCUUGGAGCGUCGAGUCGCCAUAACAAGGCACCGGGGGAGCGAGAGGAUUUUGUACCUGGGCGAGGGGGAGCGCGGCUGGUGGCGGAUAGUUAAGAGCGUGAGGACAUAAGGGACUGAGAGGCUUCAUUUCCUACACUAUUGGAGAACUUUUCGACGUUGGUAGUCGGAUCUCAUUGGCGUCUCUGACUGCCUUCGUAACUCGCCUGGUUUUUACGAAAUUAAUGGCCAGGAGAAAUAGCUCUUCGAAGAUGCCUUGAAAGUUCACUAGCAGAAAAUCCUAGUAUCGCAGACUUUAACAUUUUGCUGGAAGCUAGAAUUGACACACUUGAAAACAGCUGGGAAGUCUGAAUUCCUUUUUUAACCCUCUUAGAAUGGUCUUCAGUGUGCCUUUUUAUUCACUGGGAAAACACGCAUUUUGCUGUGAAUGCCGAGGUUAGGAAGCAGUUUUUCCCUUUGUGUUUUUCCAAGAUGUAGAUGCUUUGUGGUAAGAAAGCACAGGCAAGCCUACUUUUUGUUCCAAAAGAUUUUGGACUAGGGACUUUUUUCUCCCUGGUAUUAUCCUAAAGAGUCUUUAGCUCUGAUCCAUGCUUGCUUUAUGUAAGGGGCAGACUUGUCUUUCCAGAGUUUUGCAAACUUUCUGUUACAUACAGAGUCAGUAUUAAAUCAUGUGUAUGAAAUGUUAUCUUCCAAGUACCACAUAAGUUGUUGCUGAGAGCAGGAAGGUAAGGUCAUGAGCAGGAAGCUGAAUAACCAGCAGCAUUACUGCCUCAGUUCAAGCUCAGUCACUUGGACUCAAAGAGGCAGCUGCUCUCAGUUCAGCGUAAUGUUGCUGUUUCCUUACUGUUCUGAAUAGCCUUAAAUCAAUACCCGGUUGAAAACUGGGAGUAAGCUGGUAGAGCGAGCAUUUUGGGUUGGAGGAGUGUAAGCUGUUGGUUUAGAUUUACAUAAUUUGUAUUUUCCAUUCAAACCGAGUAGGGCAAUCGGAGUAAUGUGUAAGGGUUUGUCAGUUCUAACUGGAAUGUCCGCUUGAUUUUGUAGUCUUGCUUCCUGUCACAAGCUUAAUGCAUAACAUUAUUGUUCACAUCUUAGGGCUGAUUUUAGGGCUGGUUGGCUGCAUCCCAGAAGUGAGGGAAUUUGUGGGGGAAUUGAAGAGCCUUCAAAGCAGUUAAUACACUAUGGGAUAGUAGGGGCAGGUAAUGGAAGGUCGCUGAAACUACAGCUGUUUGAGAGGUUUUCUUUGGUGGUUGAAGGUAUUAGGCAACACUUUAUAGAAAGGCAGAAAAAGUUUGAUGCAUGUCUUUAUAAUUAUCACUGAGGAAACAAAAAACCAAUUACUGUUAUUGCACACUGCCUGGGAAGAAAUUUUUCUUAAAAUACAAAAAUAAACUGAUGUGAUUUAUGUAGACA
rnacentral:lncRNA from 1 species